CUAGCAUUUGGUCUCUUAAAAGUGGUUCAAGAGUUUAUUUUUCCUCUCCUUCCUCUGCCAGUACCAACCAGUCUUCCGUAUCACUAUGUAUUGCAAGAGUCUCACAAGAAGAUAUCCAUCACUGACUGAUCUUCCUCCCGUUUAACAUCCCCAACAGGUAAAUAAAUCAUGGAGUCACCACGAGGGCGUUCAUCUGCCAGGCACUAUUCUGAACGAUAUUGGCUCAUUAAAUUCUCACAGAAACCCUAUGCAGCAGGCAGAGGAAAGAUGAACCACCGUCCCCCACUGAGUCCUGUUUAAGUUGUAGGAUAAGGCAGGUGCUGUGAGUGCCGAAUUGGGACCGUGAUCUCCAAGUCUGGAAUUGGAGGAAAGAGGGAUAAGCUGUCAAGAUACCAGACUGUCACCUGCCAAGCUGCUCAGCAGCUUCCCUCCACCUGCCUCUCUCACAGGAGCCUGCAUGGGAAGGGGAAGGGGAAGGGAAAAGACGAUGGGAGAGGGAGGGGCCCUGGGUUGGUGGCCCCCUCCCCUUCAGCACUGAAACUACUGAAUCCUGUGUGGCUGUCACUGAGAGACUGAAGAGAGGAAUAGAAUAAUGUGAGAAAGGGACAGAGAAGCGCUUCUGCAUCAGGGAGUGGAAAGAACAAACCAUAAGAGAAAGGUUUGGGCUCUCAGCCCUGCCACUUAGCAUCUGUGGAACUCCAGCAAGACAGUUCUCCUCUCUGAAUCACUCCCCUUAUCUGAGGAGGGGUAUCUCCAUCCUUGACUGUAAUAACAGGCUGCCCUAUGCACCAAGCAGAGUUCUGAGAGCUAUGGUAUUUUUCAUUCAUUUAACCCCCACAACACCCAAGAAAUAAAUAUUAUUAUCAU
rnacentral:lncRNA from 1 species